UGUUGAAAGUUGAAAAUAAGGUGAUACUUAGGUACCAUCUUCUUCUAUAACUCACCAACCCAACAACCUCAACAUUUUCAUUUACCUUGUUUUUUUUUCAUUUAAUAGUAAAAAAAUAAAUAAAAAAUUUCAACUAUUAAUAUAGCCAUCACACAAACCCAGAUCUUCGUUCAUCUGUUCGUUAGAUCCAACGACCCAUCCCUUCCGCCUUAUCCUCUUUCGAAGAAGAAGCCAAUCAAACCAAAAGUUCCAAGAAAAAUGGAGUUAAGGAAAAGUGAUAGGACAAAGGUCCUUAAAUGCAAAAAUCUCAAAGGAGAAGGAAGUGGUUCAUCACAACCUAUGGAUGUGUAGAAAUUAAGCAUUUUGUUAUGGUCCUGUCAUGAUGUACUUUAUUAUGGUUAUGUCAUGGUGUAUUUUGUUAUAGUUUGAUACUUUAUUAUGGUGUGUAUUUUUGUAUUUUGAGACAUUUGUAUGCCUAUUAACUUUAUGUUAUUUUAAGACAUGAACCAUCAUUGUGUUA